GGCCCCGUGCUUCCAUGAGCCCUUGCAGUGUCACAAUGGCUUCGUGGUUCCACAAAGCCCUGAUGUGUCACAAUGGCCCCUGGGCUCUGUGUGCCCUCGCUGUGUCACAGCGGCUCCUCUGUGACGCUGCGGCUGCACAAGGUCACCAUGGACCCUUGGUUCCUUGGGGUCACCGAGUUCACAAUGGUCUCCUUGAUUCCAUGAGGCAGCACAGUGUCACAAUGGCCCCUUGGUUCCAUGAGGUUCUGUAGUGCCACCAUGGUGUCCUUGGACCUGCAUUGUCACAACUGACCUGUGCAGUCAGAGGCCCUGUAAGGCCUCACUGGGGAUCAGUUACCUAAGAUAAGAAAUCUGAGUCAUGAUGACUGGACCAAAGAAGCCCCUCUUCCACAUUUGGACCCUUGUUAUCUCUCUGUAAGACCAUGGCUCACAUUCACCCUGACCCUGGCAAGUGGACAAUUUCCAACACUCCUGUACCCAUUUCUGCCCAGUUUGGCAGAAGAGCUGUCACUGUCCCUUUGACAGGAGCUGCCAAUAAAGACACGGCUGUGGAACCGCA